AGUGGUUGCUCCGCCUACACACAGUCUGCUGGUUGCUAGUGCAGGCUAACAAGUAUGAGAACCUUCAUUUCUGUGAGAUGGAGGAUCACACACAUUGCUUG